rnacentral:tRNA from 1 species
GCGCUCGUAGCUCAGUGGAUAGAGCGUCUGUUUCCUAAGCAGAAGACCGUAGGAUCGAUCCCUACCUGGCGCG